AUUCAGCGUUUGUCAAUACUAUACGCUAAAAUUAAGGCAAAUGGAAGGGACACCUUUAGGCGUUCGUGCCUACCUACCUACUUGGGUGCCAGGCGCAUGCCAAGAGCUGCGUGAUAGGAUUAGCUAAGUACGACGUUCCGCGAAAAUCAC
ensembl:ncRNA T24F1.8 ncRNA